rnacentral:rRNA from 1 species
UGCAUAUGCUUGUCUCAAAGAUUAAGCCAUGCAUGUCUAAGUAUAAGUAGUAUACAGCGAAACUGCGAAUGGCUCAUUAAAACAGUUAUAGUUUAUUUGAUAAUUGAAUUAUACAUGGAUAACCGUGGUAAUUCUAGAGCUAAUACAUGCAGUAAAGCCUGAUAUUAGGGCUGUAUUUAUUAGAUAUCAAACCAAUAUUCCUUCUGGUCUAUUGUGAUGAUUCAUAAUAACUGAUCGAAGCCUAGCUAGGCUAAGCUAAAUCAUUCAAGUUUCUGCCCUAUCAGCUUUCGAUGGUAGUGUAUUGGACUACCAUGGCAGUCACGGGUAACGGGGAAUUAGGGUUCGAUUCCGGAGAGGGAGCCUGAGAAACGGCUACCACAUCUAAGGAAGGCAGCAGGCGCGUAAAUUACCCAAUCCUGACUCAGGGAGGUAGUGACAAUAAAUAACGAUGCCGGGCUCUUUGAGUCUGGCAAUUGCAAUGAGAACAAUCUAAACCCCUUAGCGAGGAUCAAU